rnacentral:rRNA from 1 species
UCGUAGUUGAAUUUGUGUCUUGCGCUGUCGGUUCAUCGCUGUUUGCGGUGUUUAACUGGCACGUUGUGAGACGUCUUGCCGGAAGGGCAUGGUAUAUGUGUUAUAUGUUUUAUUUACAAGCAUUUUAUUAAUAUGCAUAAUCAUAAUAUAUUAUUAUUCAAAUAUAGAGUGUAAAAGCUUUAUAUUUGGUAUGUAUAUUAUUGAUUUUUGUUAUAUUAUUUAAUGUAAAAAUUCGUAAGUGACGCAUAUAUAAUAAUACAUGUACGUAGUCCGACUUUUUUUUUUUAUAGAAAAAAAUCCUGUCUAGGUGCUCUUAAUUGAGUGUCGUGGCGGGCCGGCACGUUUACUUUGAACAAAUUAGAGUGCUUAAAGCAGGCUUAUGUUGCCUGAAUAUAGUGUGCAUGGAAUAAUGAAACAGGACCUCGGUUCUAUUUUGUUGGUUUUCUGAACUGAACGAGGUAAUGAUUAAUAGGGACAGAUGGGGGCAUUCGUAUUGCGACGUUAGAGGUGAAAUUCUUGGAUCG